UCUUCAUUGCCGAAUAUAAACUAAAAUAAAAAGAAAAGAAAUCAAGUUAGGGUUCGGCCUAUUGGGAGCUCAAUCAAGGUUCGUUUACUUGUCGGUUUUUGAUAAUUUUUACGUUUUUGAGAUUGUUGCUUAGUAAUCUUCAAGACCCAUGCUUUAAUUUCUGAUUUUGAUGAAUAUUUUGAGUUUUUCCAUUGUUGAUAACUUGUUAUUUUUGUUGUUUGAUGAUGAAAAAUGGAAGAUAUGUUUUAGAUUAACAUGUUUUGUAUUGGAUUUUUUGAUGAUUUUGAGUAAUUAGGACUUAAUUGCAAAAAUAAUAAUUUGAGGGACUAAAAUGUGAAAUAAAUUGAAUAUAUGGACUUGUUUGAGAGUGGGUAAAAUUUGUCCCAACAUAUAUAUAGGGAAAUUUUGUGUAUUUUGUGUUUUGUGCAAUAAGGACUAAAUUAUAAAAAUUGUAAAUGUUAAGGGUAAAAUGGUAAUUUGCCCAUUUAUGUUUUUGGACUAAAUUGAAUGAAACUAUGUUUGAAUGAGUUUAAUUUGAAUAUGUUUAGAUCAAGAACCAAAGAAAUCAUAUUUGGAUCGGGAGAAAACGAAAGUUGUCGACUAGUAGCAACGAAAGUUGUCGACUAGUAGCCCCGUCCCGUUUUACGACGUUCGAGGUAAGUUUAUAAGCAAAUAGACAUGUUUAUUGGUAACUUAAUGUUAUAUUUACAAGCUGUUUUGAAAUGUUAGAAACUAAAUAUAUUAUGGCUGAAUAUGAUUAAAUGUGGUUAUUACACUUCUGAGUUCGAUUCGACCAAGUUACGAUAUCCGAAAGCCCCGUAUGAACCUUAGGAAUAGCUAGGAUACAUAUGUCAUGACAUAGGUUCCAAUAUAUGUGUGCGAGUAAGUCCAUGGCAUCGAUUUGGGAUUUUGAUAUGUGUUUACGAGUAAGACCCUGUCUGGGACAGUGGUAUCGAUAUGUGGUUACAUGUAAGACCACGUCUAGGACGUUGGCAUUGUACGAUUUAUGUAAUUAUCCGAGUGUCCUAUCCAAUUUUAAAUGGUUCAUCGGGAAAAGGUAAACUGCAUACGGAUUGUAUAAUACGAGCUAAAUGGACAGGUAUGAGUGAAUUUGAUAUUUAUUUAAGACAAGGUAAGAAAGUGUUAUAGUUGUGUGCUAUAAAUCAUAUAUAAAGCAAAUGAGGAAUCCAUGUGUAUUUUGAUAUGUGUAUUCGGCUUGUGAUGAAUAAUUUGUGUUGUAUUGAAAUGUCAUUUAAUAUGUGUAUAUGUAUACUUUGUGAAUUCGGCUAUUUAGUUAUAAAUUAUACAUGGGACGACUUUUGAUGAUUCUUGAAUUGCAUAAAAGAGUAAAUGGAUGUAUGGUUGUUAUGGCUGUUAGGCUUGGAAAUGGAAGUUGAUUUAUAAUGUAUUAGGUGAUUAUAUAUGUAUUAGGCUUAGUUAGUGAAUAAUGUUAAUGCAUUUCGUUUGGUUAAUAAAAAUCAAAUAUGUUAUUGAGUAGUUACGGCUUGUAACUUACUAAGCUGUGGUAGCUUACUUUAUGUAUUACGUUACUCUGUUUUAUAGAUUUUGAAGGCAAGCUGCAAGCUCGG
rnacentral:lncRNA from 1 species